AACGUAGGAGACGAACGUUAUCCGGAGUUACUGGGCGUAAAGCGCACGCAGGCGGUCUUGUAAGUUUGACGUGAAAGCUCCCGGCUUAACUGGGAGAGGUCGUUGAAGACUGCAAGACUUGAGGAAAUGAGAGGGGUGUAGAAUUCCCGGUGUAGUGGUGGAAUGCGUAGAUAUCGGGGGGAAUACCAGUGGCGAAAGCGGCACCCUAGCAUUUUUCUGACGCUCAUGUGCGAAAGCGUGGGGAGCGAACGGG
rnacentral:rRNA from 1 species